rnacentral:tRNA from 1 species
GCCUGGCUGGCUCAGUCAGCAGAGCAUGUGACUCUUGAUCUCAGGGUUGUAGGUUCGAGCCCACGUUGGGUG